ACGGGAGGCAGCAGUGGGGAAUAUUGCACAAUGGGGGAAACCCUGAUGCAGCGACGCCGCGUGAGCGAUGAAGUAUUUCGGUAUGUAAAGCUCUAUCAGCAGGGAAGAAAAUGACGGUACCUGACUAAGAAGCUCCGGCUAAAUACGUGCCAGCAGCCGCGGUAAUACGUAUGGAGCAAGCGUUAUCCGGAUUUACUGGGUGUAAAGGGAGCGCAGGCGGUUUGGCAAGUCUGAAGUGGAAGCCCGUGGCUCAACCGCGGGACUGCUUUGGAAACUGUCAAACUAGAGUAUCGGAGAGGCAAGUGGAAUUCCUAGUGUAGCGGUGAAAUGCGUAGAUAUUAGGAGGAACACCAGUGGCGAAGGCGGCUUGCUGGACGAUAACUGACGCUGAGGCUCGAAAGCGUGGGGAGCAAACAGGAUUAGAUACCCUGGUA
rnacentral:rRNA from 1 species